GUCACUUUGGCGGAGUGGUUAACGCGCUGCCCUGCUAAGGCAGUUCCCUCGGGAGCGUAGGUUCGAAUCCUACAGGUGACG
rnacentral:tRNA from 1 species